GGCAAAGGCAGAGAGAGGCGUUGGCCGCCGCCCGGAAACUCUGAGAUCCCCGCUUUGGGACUGCGAAGGUGCAGCUCACAGUGCUUGCACGCCUAUUGGUGGUGUGCACACACACGCACAGGCUUGCUGAGAUGGGCACCCCGCAUCCAGUCGGCCUGAGCGCUUAGCAGCGAUUCCUUCUGAUCUCCGCUCCCUCUGUGAUCUUCCCAUUACCGCAACCAGGAAGGGCCUGGAAGGCUCGCCCAGCCCAGCCCAAGCGGAUGACAUCUGGCUGCAGCCAGCAUUUGGGAGGCGAACAGCCCUCUGCAGGAGACUGAACCCCAAACAUGUGGCCUCUUACCUUUCAGAAAGACCAAUGCUGGGGUUCAGCUCACACGCAGAGUGAGUGGAGCUGUCACCAAAGGGGCCGCGUGGGCUCGGGGAGGUCGCACCUGGUAGACACCACGAGUCUCAUACGAAACUGCAGGCGCCUCCAAGAGACCCUCUGCGUCCCCUGGGGUGCAGACUGUGGAAAUCGGACCCCAGGUUCCAGCCGCUAGGUGGCUGUGUAUUUCUAUUAGAAUCAAUGGCUUCAGAGACAAACAAAAACAACUCUGCAGCCCCUGGGAAGCACAGACAGGCCAAGCAAACACAGCAGUCCAACAGGCUGCCAGCCUGAGGUGCAGGCUGGGCCCCGAUUACAGGCUGCCUGUGACGCCGCCGCCGUGACAUCGCCCUCGCGAGCUGCCGCCUCCUUCCUCUCCAGCCCUCACCCUCGGGCUGAGCGGGGAGAAUUCUUGCCGCCUGCUCCUGCCAAGUGGAGACGGUUUGCACCAGCGAACAUCAAGCAGAGUGGGGCAGAGUGAGAUCUCCAACAACAUAGAAUGCACCACAGUAAAGCUGGAAAAGGUCUGUCAGUAAAGCACAAGGAGAGGACAACGGCCCUGCUCUUCUGCUAGGAGAGUUAGUGUUGGAUGGGAAGCUAAAGAUGCCUGUCCUUUGAUAAAAGGAACACUGUUGAGAGAACCAGCAAGAGCAAGAAACAAAAGGUAAUCACAGUGUGGCAGAUGUCUGAAGUCUUCUCAAAUCCCUUGCUCAGAGCUAAUUACAAAUGUACCCAUCUGAAAUAGUUAAUAACUGGAGUGCACAGGCCGGGACGGGUUGGAACAGGCAGGAGCUGUAGAACUCGAGCUCCUGCUGCAUCAACAUUUAACCAGGAGGAAGUGAGGGCUGGGGCGGGCGCCCAGUGCAGCAAAUGCCCAGCAUGGCUGUGAUUCUAUUGUCUAACAAAAGGCCCAUAGCCGGGACACUGGCUGAAACCCUUUGCCCUGCCACUCUGCACUGGCAGAAGCUCCGAGGUCUCCCAUGGUUCACGGAAAUGAUCCACGGAGGUUGUGUUCUUGUGGAAUUCUCAACAAGCCACAGGGGCUGUCUGUGGCAGGUCCUGUGGUGGCCUAGCUGCCCUUGCCAGUUCCUUGUGGCCUGGCAUAAAUGGCUUUGACCCCUGGUGGUGACACACGACAGCGGAGAUGUCAGCCCUGGCAGGUACGGCGCCCACCGACCGCAGAGAAAGUCUCCUCGAUCUCUGGAACUCAUUUCACCAGAACACGGGAAGAGACCACAAGUGGCUGUGGAGCUGGGCUUCCCUUCUCCCGUGGGCCUCCAUUGCUCGUUUCUGACCAAUCCUCUUCAAGGUCAGGUAGGGCCUCAGCACCCAGGGCUCUAGGGUCAGAUCGUGACUUUUUCUGAGUGCUGAUGUGAUGCCCAAACUGGCAAAUUUCACACUCUGAAACUUUGUUCGUGAACCAAGUUAUCAAAAAUAUGGCAAGAAAUUACCUUCAAACUGUGUGCGCAGGGUGUAUAGGAAACAUGACCGAGUUCUGUGUGUACACUUGAGCUGCGCCCUCAAGUUGCUGCAUUGGAAUAGGAAAAAGUCCCGGAAUGUAAAACAAAGUGUGCCCUACCCUGCAGAUCUGCCCACACAUACACGGGUACAAAAACAGUAAGAGCAGAAGCUGCCCUUUCUAUGCAGCUGACGCGGGUACUCUGAGGCUCAGCUGGACAACGCCCUUUCAAGAAGCUCUGAGCAGAGGAGAAACGAGGCUGAGCGGCUUUCGCUGAGACCCAGACACAGCCCUGGUGGGAACGGCUGGCGAGAUAACCACGUCUGGCCACGUGUCAGGCUCAAAUCCCGGCACCAGUGAGACCCUCAGCGCAUUCUCAAGCCAAUCAGCAAAUCGUCGCAGCAGAUAUUAUUGCUAGUUUUAUCUUUGGCUUGCAGUUAACUCUGGAUAUUUUAAGUCCCAAAAGGAGCCAUGCAUCUGGAGGCCAUGCUGCCCAGUAACUGUGCUGUCCGAGAUGAAUGUGUUUUCUGCAGUGCUGCCCGGGACUCCUCCAUGGCUCCGUUCCACAGACAUGGUGCCCACACUGCUCAGUAGUUGGGGCCCAGCACUGGGUUCUCCCGUGGUCGUCAGACUUAAAGGACGCCUUAUGGUCACGCAUCUCCAUAGCGCCUCUCCUGCCUCACAUUCACUGUCCUCAACCUGUAAAUCGGAGAGGAUUCCAAGCCAGGAGGAAAUCACUCGCUCCUGUAGCUCUCAGACUGCUGGACAGUAAACAGGGAUGCCAUGCCUGCCUUGCCCAGGGAGAGAGAUUUCGGUGUGCUUGGCCGACGGCAGAGAGCCAGUGCUGAGUAUCAACUAUGACAAAUAUCAGGGGCGGAACAGCGUCCGCAUGUGGCAGGGGCACUGACUGUUUCUUGUUCCUCAAGCAGGUACCUGGCAUCACUCUGGAUGCUGUAGAGUGGGUCCUAAGAGUUCCCGCUCAGUCCCGUGUGACAGAAGAGAGACAAUGGGACGGUUCAGGGCCUUGUCAGGAAGUGAUGUCAGAGCUCCGGGGAGAAAGCACACCUCGCUCCAACUCCUGAUUCUGCACAAAGCAUAUCUUUCUGUUCUCCCUCUGUUGGCGUGAGGGACGAGCCAACACUACACUUCCGCAAGUAUUUUCCUGACUUCCUACAAAUCCUUCCCAAAUGAGGGGAAGAGAAAGAGCUCUCCAAGUCUAUGUAAGUCUGAUUGCACAGUUUCCCUACAUGAAAUCUUGGGUAUUUAGAGAAAGCACCGAAAACUACAAGAAAAAUGUCAGACCACGCACGGUGCAUACUUAGGCAUCCAUAAAUGUGUUUCUCACGGACACAGAAGACAGAGCGCUUUGUGGACCCCACAUAGCUAAAUCUGGUACUGAUCAGGUGACGAAAAUCCGAAGCUCAUUUCCCAGUGCAAAUGAACCAAGCAUUGGUUCCAUCAGACUUCAGAGAAUUGAAAACACCACAGUGUGUAGCUGCACUUCCCAGUACUCUUGGUUACCACAGAUUGGCCCAAAAAUUAGUGAAAAAAAAUCCUUUUCUCCCAGGAAAAUGUUAGGGGAAAGACUGUCCCCAAGUCCUUGCUCCAUGCCCACUUCGUGAUAAUGGAGAACUCUGUUCUCCAGGGCUGUUAGCCCAGCUUCCCCCAAGGACUUCCUCGUUCAGAAAGUGAGGGCAACAGCGUUGACUGGAGACGAUGUCCGGAGCGCAGAGGAGAGUCUGACUUCCGGGGGAGAGUGGCACCCCUUAGGCCAGAACAGACCUCGGCAGACCAGCGGGAGAGUGAGCGCAGGGCGGCACACCCUGUGCUCCCUAUGGCCACGGCUUUAUCAUGUCCAGGAGCUCAGGCUACCCCCAGACACACACACGCACACGUGUGCAUGCACACACACACUACACCAUGGAGACGGUGAGCCUUGGGAGUACACAGCUCCCCUCCUGUCCUCCCCUCCCCUCUCUGCUUCCUGAAUCCCACGAGGCAAGCAGCUUUGCUCUUCCACACCCUUCCACCAUGAUGUUCCUACCUAGGAGCCUGCUGACCAUGGACUGAAUCCUCUGAAGCCAUGAGCCAAGUUAAACCUCUCCUCCUUUAAGCUGUGGGUGUCAAGUGCUGUGUUCCAGCAACAAAAGCGGACCGACACAUUAUUCUUCACUGCAGGGCUGAGGGCCCUGCACACCUCGCUCUUGGACAGCUCCUGUUCCCAUGGUCCAUCAAGCGCAUGUGGGACCUCCUUGCAUUUAUGGAGCAAUUUUCUCCAUCUCAAUUCCAGAACUCUUACUUGUUGGGCCUGAAUGAGCAGAUGUGUACUUUUUAGAGCUUUUCCCUCUGCACUCUGGGGGGCCCAUGUGGGUAGUUAGGAGGACAGCAACAGAGACAAAUGUCAGCACUCCACACCCUGCGGCUCAUGAGCAAAGUGAUCUAUCUCUUUGUGCCUCAGUUUCCCCAGCUGCAAAGGGGGCACAAAAGUACCAAACACCUUACAGCAGUGUGAGAAUCCAAUAAGUUGCUGAAACUGCCUGGAACAUGAUACAGCACAGCCAUUCUGUGCUGCUAGUGUUAUUCUUUGCAGACCACAGUCACACAUGUAUUAGCACCCAUUGUUUUCUGUAUCUGUGUUCUGGACAUUAGAAUUGGUGGUGAGUUUGUAUGCCUCAAAUGACAUGGCCAAAGAGUCUGUGGAAGUGGGACAGCUUUGAGGAGCACAAUAUCUGUGAAAUCCUACACGAGUCUCUGGAACUGCAUGGGAGAAUUAUCCACGAGAGAACUUCCUCUCCCACCACCCGCUACUGCGCGUUCUAUUCGAACAGGAAAUACUGAUGCCUGGGAUUAAUGGGAGGGUCAGGCUUUUCAACAUCAUUGUUCCAAGGAGGCAAGGUGGGCAUUGGGAAGCUUGUGCCAAAUCUGUAGAACAAUUUCCCCACACACAAGGGUGCAAGAAAGGAGUUGUAAUUAAUUUAAGUGCCUGGGGGCUGACUUAGCCACACUGGAGUAUUUGGUAAGUAAGCUAUUUCAGGUGAAGAUAAAAUGCCUUUAAAUAUAAAGAGGGUAAAGUAGAAGAUUAAAAACUUUAAAAGGGGGAAAUCCCAAGGCUACAGUAAAUCAGCCAUUCAAUUAAUUUAGAGGAAAAUGGAUUACUCACCCUAGGAUCAAACUGUGUAAACCUUAAUAAUCAUAUAAGCAGCUCUAGUACAUAGGGCUGCCAUUAAAUUUUCCUUCCAUAUCUUUCCUUCCCUCCUUGUACAUUCCAAAGGAUUAAUGUGUGCUGUCUUCUGAGAACAUGCCAUCAUGAAAACUUACAAUCUCAUUCCCUCCCACCAUCUAAAGAGUGCGUUUGGGAUUCCCGGAUCUGCAUGGGGAUGAUGACUGUUCUCACGGUGCCAAGUUUUCCAUCAUCACAGCUGAAGUGAAAAAUGGUGCAAACCAGUCUUUCCAAAUUACAGAGUGUUUUGUAAAAGCCCACAACAGAAAAAGACAUGUCUUGUAAUUUUGGGGUCCAAGUACUCGAGGUCCUGCUGUUAAGGUCACUGUGGGCAAAUGCAAUCAGCAAGUGUAGACACUGUGCCUGAUGGCCUCAACAACUCUCACUUUCCUCUGCGUGCUAGGCUUGGGGAUUUCCAAAUGUGACAGCUCUGCUAGAAGUUCAUUAACUUUCUGUCCUCAAAUGCAGCCGAAUUAAGGAGAAGGCACCAGAUUACGAUCUAUAGUAAAAUGAGGUUUAUGGGAUUUUAAUCAACUUUUAGUUCCAAAAUCAAUUUGUUUAAUGAUUUUUCUCUUAGAUUCCAUUUUGGCCCUUGGAAUAAAAUAUAACUUGUGAAAUUCA